UACGGAGGAUCCAAGCGUUAUCCGGAUUUAUUGGGCUUAAAGGGUGCGUAGGCGGUCUGGUAAGUCUGCUGUUAAAGACUAGGGCUUAACCGUUGAAUUGCAGUUGAAACUGUUGGACUUGAGUAUACAUGGGGUGGGCGGAAUUUGUGGUGUAGCGGUGAAAUGCUUAGAUAUCAGGAAGAACACCGGUUGCGAAGGCAGCUCACUGGGGUGUAACUGACGCUGAUGCACGAAGGUGUGGGGAGCGAACAGG
rnacentral:rRNA from 1 species